AAGACUUGAAAGUGUCCGAUUUCGGGUUUUCUGCUUUGCCUGAGCAGAAAUGGAACGAUGGUUUGCUGCACACACGGUGUGGCACCCCUGCAUAUGUGGCUCCAGAGGUUCUAAGAAAGAAGGGUUAUGAUGGUGCUAAAGCUGACACCUGGUCUUGCGGGGUUAUUCUAUUCGUUCUGCUUUCAGGGCACUUGCCCUUUCGCAAUGAGAACGCCAUGAAGAUGUAUGUGAAGAUUUUAAAGGCUGAAUAUGAGUUCCCACCGUGGAUUUCCAGGGAUGCCAAGAGGUUGAUUUCCAAUCUUCUUGUUGUGGACCCUGAGAAGAGAAUUACAAUCCCUGAGAUCAGGGCAAAUAGUUGGUUCCAGAAAGGUCUUGCUCAAUCUACUGUAUCUCCUAAUGAUUUAGAAGAUACUGAAAACGGAGUUAGAAGUGAAGAUCAAGAGGAAUUUCCAGGAAAAACCGGAUCAAAGCAUUCGCCGCCUUUUUAUAAUGCUUUUGAACUCAUAUCUUCAAUGUCGUCAGGAUUUGAUUUAUCAAGUUUGUUCGAGACCAAGAGAAGAAGGGGUUCGAUGUUCACUUCAAAAUGUCCAGCAUCAAUGAUCCUAUCAACGUUGAAGUCCGUGGCAAAGAAGUUGAACUUUAGAGUGGCAGUGAGUGAUACAGAAUUCAAGGUGAAAUUGCUAGGAAAAGAGGAGGGACGGAAGGGGAAGCUGGCGGUGACAGCAGAGGUGUUUGAGUUGGCUGCCGAGCUUGCGGUGGUCGAGUUAUCCAAGUGCUCCGGUGACACUUUUGAGUACACCAAAUUCUGUGAAGAAGAUGUCAGGCCUGCCCUAAAAGAUAUAGUUUGGAGCUGGCAAGGUGAUAGUAUUGAUUCUCAUGAAGGCCAAGUAGGAACAAGUAAUUAGGAUGGUUAACGGUCGUUAAUUGACAAAAGACCUCAAAAUUAGAACUCUAACGGUCGCUAGUUUUACAUAUUUGCUUGUUUUAGGCUUUAUAAUUGUGCGUUGUGUAAUGUUAUUAAUGCGAAUAUACGGGCAUGUAAUUUGUCUAAACAAGAGAUUAGUAGAGAGGAUUGAUGAUUUUCCCGUACUUAGGUUAUUUUGCUUCUAACUUUCCUUCUCACCAGUUAAUUUGCCCGAAAAAAUGUCUGUUUAAGGAAAUAUGUACUUUUUCUCGGCCAUAAUGAUCUUCUAUAUCUCUCUCCCUCGCGUGGUUUUGAUGGAUUUGUCAAAUGGGUUAUAAAGGGCUUGGAGCUAAACUUGUACCCCUUUGCAACGAUUGGUUGGUCCAUGAUCCAAGAAACCCGAUUUAAAACUCAUCAAAAUUCAAUAACGUUAAAACUAAGAAAUUAAAAAAAAAUACAAAACAACGACAACUAUGCAAAAUAGAAUUCACCUACAACCAUCGGGCUGUUUUCCAAUCACAACAAGGUCUAAAUGCGGAAUUUAAAUAUAGUUGAGCCUAAAAAAGCAUCUCAGAGCAGCUCAAUGGACCUGUUUUUUCUUCCAAAAGGUGGGCUCACAAAUCCUCCUGGAAAGGAUAACAGCGUAUCCAGCUUCCAAUCUUUCCCAUGAAAUCGAAUUGCAUUGAAGGAGAUAUUUGGAGUUGGAACCUAAUACCUCAAUUUCAAAACAUAGUUCUCUUGCUAACUCAUCUAAGGAUCUUGUUGUUUUGUAAAAAGAAAGUAAAUGGCACUUCACGAUUCACGAGUUAACUUGAAUUUUUAAUCAAAUUAUAUUAAAUUAAUUUUUAAUAAUUUUUUUAAGUUUGACCCGUGUCAAGUUCUAGUCAACCUGUGAAAUUAAAUUGCAUUUAAUAAAGAGCUUAGCACAACUAAUCAUAGUACACAGAACCAAUUUGGCUAGGAACUCAGGUUUUUAGUUUAUUGUUUCAAUUGGCAUGGUAACCAGUACUUGGACUAGUAAAUAAUAUUGAUGAUGUUGAUGCCGUAACUUGUGUAUGAUGAGUUGGUGACAUUUGGAAAAAAAAAAAAAAGGAAUAAAUUAAGCUUCAAGAUUUAUUAUAUAUCCACUGCAUUCUAAAUGUAUGGUUGACCGAUGCCAUAAAAAAGAAAGAAAAGAAACCUCAUCCGAUUUAACAUUCCUAAUCUUAAUUACAUGUCAAAAUAAUUAAUUUUAUCGAUUUCAUCCCAAGCUACUCGAUGUUAGGCAAUUUUCCCAUUGAAAUACAUUAAAAAAUACCUCAAGGUUCUUGCAUACAAAGCAAUAUUUCUUAAUUUUUGAUAAAUUUGGGAUGAUACUGAUAAGACUGAUAAUUUGUGAACAAUGAUGAGAAAACAAACAAAUGGGCUAUAUAGUUCUAGAGUAAUUCUACAAUGCUCAAGCUAUAAUUAGAAAGAUAGAGAUAAAAAGGAGGAUAAAGAAAAUAAAAACCUUCAUUCGGCAUUAGAAUAACCAAGCAUAGUCAUUAUUAUUACAUAAUUGAUCCAUCAAAUACAGGCAUAUGAAGUUCUAUUAGAAUCACGAAUACAUAAUCAUUCAGAAUCGGAGAAAGGCAGAUAUACCAUCGAUCCUUCAAACACAGAGACUUUCUUCAGCUGAAGAUUGUCUAACAUGGAAAAGAUGGUUGGAGAGUUUAAUUAUUUGAAACAAGACAGCACUUUGUGAUGGAUCUGUGUCACGCUAAUCCAUUUGGAAAUAAGACAUGACUGUAAACACAGUUUGUGCCAGGGUGAAUAGAAGCAAUACAACAGCAGCUAAAAACGAAAGCAGUGCCCAUGGACUGUUGAAAUAAUCAUGCUUUAGUGUCGCCAUCCAUACAUUGCGCUUCCGAUUGCAAUGCUCCUUCACACCGUCGAAUACUUUAUUAUAACAAAAGUGAGGACGUUGGGAGUGUGUGACAUUUCUGCAUAGGUUAUUGAACAAGGAGCAGACCUUUCCAUCGUCGCCCAACCCAUUUUCAAUAAUUUCCGAGUGUCGAAGUAUCUGCACAUCUUCUUGAGUGCUGAUUAAACAAUCCAUCAGAGUUAUAUAAUCGGUGACGUACAGAUGUUUGCGCGGAGAGCACUGUUCAUAGGUGACAAGAUUUCGGAAUAGCGACUCUGUUCUGUCAUCAAUUUUCAAACGUGGGAUUUCUAUCGUGCCAUUUUCCGAGAAGUCAACAUCAAACAAUAACCUACUUGAUCCCUCUCGCCUUUUGAAUUUAAUGCCAGCUUCUUGCAGCUCUUUGGCAUUGCGUAUGAAAUACCAAUCGAUUUCCUUUGGUGAUUCCGUCGAAUCAGGCGGCUGAUACCCAGUACGAUAUAACAUGUCCAGAAGAUGCUCGCAUUCAUUCUCAGGAAUUCCACGGUUUCCUAAGCCUCGAAAUAUCUGCUGGCAAAAUUUUAAGGCCAUACCAAAGAAGUCUUUUUCGCUCUGCCCAGACGUCAUAGUAAACAACUUCAGAAGAACAAAGAAUGGAAGUUGAUUCUCAAGUAACAUCGUAUCAGUUUCUAUGCAUGAGAGGAUCCAAGGCACUUCGAAAACAGGGUCAUCUUCACCGCUUACUCCUGGACUCUUGUUACACUUGCGAAUAAGCUCAACAAUGAAGCAACCAUCAAGAAGCAACAUUUCAACGAAUUCAUCCUGGCCUAGACUUACGGACUGAUCAUAAAAUUCACGAGCUUUUCCUUCCACCCCACUCAUGGCCUCAACAUAUCUUUCCACGCUACUUUCCCCUCUGCGUUGAAGAAGCUCUUGUAGAUAACGUUUUUUAUGUUCUUCCAUGAUCUUCAAUUUAUCUUUUCCACGAUGAUAAGGGCCGAUGGAGAGGAUUUCCGGCUCAAAUGCCCUUUUGUUUACAUGGCGGAGGCGACUAGGAACCUUGAAAAUACUGCAUGUUGAGUGACUAGAAGGCAAACCUCUGAGCUUUUCGUCGAUUUUAACGUUUAAAGGGUUCCAAGGACUCGUCUCUUUUUCCUGAAAUUAAUGGAUACAAAAAUGUUUUAAAAAAGUCCCAACGAUUCAUCCAAAACUUUAUUUUGAAUGUAAUUAAAAAUGUGCGUGUGUUACUGAUGUCUUUUCUAUGUACGAGAAACAUAUUGAUUAUAAAUUCAAAAUUUGAGGUGAAUAAAAGUUUUAUUUGUUUUUAUAUUUUAAAGAUAGGAGAAAGAGGUUAAUAGAUUUUAGCGGUAAAAAAAAAUACAUGUUGUUAAUAUUGAUUUAGACCACCAAAAUAAAUAAUAUUUGUGUUAAAUGAUUUUAUUUGAUAAGAAAAGUUUAUAUUAUAUAUUUUUUUAUCUUCAAAGUUUUUGGAAAAAUAAAUCUAAACUUGAGUUGAUUUUUUAUUUUGAGUUAAUUUUGGUUUUUGAAGUAUUUGUUUUUUAAUUUUUUUAAGAUAUUGAUAAGUUUAACAUGAUUUUUAAGAUUUUAAUAGGUGUUUUUGGUUAAAUGAAAAAAUAAAUGGAUUAAAAAAUUAGUUUUUAGAUAAAAACACUUAAGCUAUAAUUUUUUGGUAUUUACUGACCAAAUUCUAGGUAAAAAUAAAUGACGCGUUCGUUUGUUUUUUAUCAAAACAAAUUAUCGUCUGCACCAAGAGUAACAAAAAAACAAGGACCUAGGCAUGCGAGCCUGCUAGGAAAAGCCUACAUAUAGACCCUAAGAUAAACAAUAUAGUUUAUUAUUUUUUUCCUCUAGUUUGUUUUUUAUAUACUUUUUUGGUUGUGUCACUGCUUUUAACAAGGAUAAUGUUCUAUAUUCUCAAGGAAGGCGUUUAGCAAGAAGAAGAAGAAGAUAGGGCCUUGAAUACGGACAACAUAAACAAUAUAGAAGAAAAGCAUCAAUAGAUUCAUUUUUUUCAUGUAAUUUGCUAGUAGCAUUGUCACCUUGUUACACCCAUCUUAAUUAUAACUUCAGUGGCACAUGUUUACUCAUGAAAGAUUCUACAGCGCUACUUGUGAGUGGAAUCAUGCAUGGUGAAGGAUUUUUUAGUUCUUACCGGGUUUGACAUUGACGCACAGAAAAAACAAACCAGGUUAUAUAUCAAAUACCUGCAUGUUACAACAAUGGUCAAUCGACUGGUCGAUAAUCAAAUGAUCCUGCUUUUAACAAGGACAAUAUGUUCUAUCACUUACUUGUUCUCAGACCUUGCUCUGCAAUGGAUGAUCUUCUCUAGAGCUCAUGAGAUAUAUAUGCCUUUUAUAAUGAUCAACCCUUGCCAAAAGUCGACAAAGAAAUUAGAAAUGAUAUGUAUUAAUCAGAAAUAGAGUCGCCCUAAUAUGCCAAGAGGACGAAUACUUCAAAGUUGAAGAAUCUUUCGUCUUUGAUCUCUGCAUGCUGGGACAGCUGGUUUCAUGGAAGUGUCCACAUUAGUUUUCCACUGAGAUAUCCAAAAUUCGACGAAGAAAUUAGAAAAAAAUGCUUGCUGAGUGUGGUUCCGCCACUAUGUGUGAUGGUGGUACCACCACAUCUUUUUUUCCGUCUUUCAAAACACAAAUAAUUAGCACUGUAGCAACUGUUCAGUUUUAGCAAAAGAGAGAAAAUAAAAAUGGGAAAAGGAGAAAGAAUAAAGGCAGCAGAACGGUCUCUCUUUUUAUUUUUAGCUCAUUAACCGUUAGAACGGGCUGAUAUUUUAAUAAUUGUUUCUAAACAUGUUAAUUCUCAUUCUAAACAGUUAAAUUGGAUAUUAAUAAUAUAAAAACGACAUGUUAUUUUGCUAGAAAACAAGACUAUCAAUAUUAUGAGUUUUUCUUAAAUAUUUUUUUUUUAAUCUUAUUGUAUUUCAAGAAUAAAUUAUUUUUAAUGAUAUAUAUAUAUAUAUAUUGGAUAUUAAUGAUAUAGAAACUAGUUAUUUUGUUAGAAAUCAAGGCUAUGAGUUUUUCUCAAAUACUUCUCCUUUUAAUCUUAUUGUAUUUCAAGAAUAAAUUAUUCUUAAUGAUAUAUAUAUUGUAGCCCUUAAUUAAAUUUAAGAAAAAACACUUGUAAACCUAUUAUUUGUUAAUAGUGAAAGUUUUUAGAUGGAAUAUGAUCCUUUAGUUUUUCUCACAUCAAGUUUUUUAUGUAAAGAUUUUGGUGUCGAUUUGUAUGUUUGAUUGCAUUAAUUAAAAAAAAAAAGAUUUGGGUUUUGUAAAUUGUGUAUUCAUUGGUGUUAUCGUUAAUUAUCCCUGCAAUUUAUUUAAUCAGAAGUUGAACUAGUCGCCCUGCCAAGGGAAGACGACGAAGACUUCUCAAGUUAAAGAGUCAUAUCACUGUAAGGUGGAAUCCACAAUAAUUUGCCACUGAGAUAUAGAUGCAUUUAUAACUAUCAUGAAUUCUUGCCAAAAUUCAACAAAUAAAUUAGAGUAAUAUGUAUUGAUUAGAAGUAGAAUUAACCAGUCACCCCACCAUGCAAAGAGGACUAAGACUUCUUAAGUUGAAGAGUUUUCGUCCUUGAUCUCUGCGUGGCAGGACAACUGAUGAGUUCUAUGAAGUCGUCGGCAUUCACAUUUUUCAUCUUAAACCUUAUGAUUUCUUGAAUAUGCUUAUUUAUUAUAAUUCUAUUGUGAAAUUGAAGAAAAAAACUCCUAGAAAUCCUAUCAAUUCCUCUCUUUUUCUUUACAAACAUAGAAAAAUAUGUUUAUUAAUAGAGAAAAAAAGGAAUUGAAAUGGUUUUUAUGGGUUUUCUUCUUUAAUUCCUCAAUAGAACCCUAAUACAGAGCCAUUUUAAAAAAAUAUUCACGAUGGUUAAGAUAAAGAAUCAUAAAUAUAUCAUAUAAAUCACCGUUGAAGAUACGGUAUGUUUAUGAAGGCACAUGCCCACAUAGUCCCAGAAAACUUUCUUCCAAGGGACAUAUGUACUUAUCCAGUGAUAUACAAUAUACUUAUAUACAAUCACUUCACAUGGUUACUUUUGUUAAUUACUAUAAAUGUAUUUUUUUCCACUCCCCUUAAAGAGAGCAUUAACAUGUUGAAUGGAUCUAUGAUUUAAAAAUACAAAUGGACUCUCACUUGCCUCUUCCAUUUUAUUUGUUAACAAAUACUCUAAAACGUGUAGAUUUUCAUUGUAAUGUUUUUUUUUUGUUUUCGCUUUUUUUUUUAACAUUAAUAGUUUCUAGGAUUUGACAUGGAUAUGCCGUAUCACACUGCGGAUUUGAUGCUUGAUGUGCAAUUUUUACUUUUAUAUUGGUUUUUGACGGACCUUGAAGAAGAUAGGUUGCUUAUACUCUACUAUCAUAGAGAUUCUUUUCUCUAUAUGUCAAUUCCAAGCCAUCACUAGCUUUCUUCUUAUAAAUGAUUACUAUGGCCAUGUUUGGAUUAUGGUUAAAUAUUAUUGUUAUUUUACUAUUUUUUUAAUAAAAAUUAAACUAAAUUUUUAUAUAUUAAUGUCAAAAAUAAAAUUUAUAAAAUAAAAAAAAUAUUAUUUUAAUAUAUUUUAAAACAUAACUACCAACCUAUUGACCCAGUAAAAUAAAAUAAAAAAUUUAAUUUUUAAUUUUUAAUUGUUUUUUAUUUAAAAAAUAAGUGUUAAUAUUAUUCAAUAACAUUAUUGAUAAAUUAGACAAAGAUCACAAUUCCAAUUUUAUUCCUCAUUAUAUUUUACAUGAUGUUGUUGUGUGCUUAAGAAACUAAGGAAACCGUAGUCUUUGUCGGAUGUAUUUUAUACGUAAUGGAAUUGUAGAUAGUUUAAUAGAACAAUAAAAAAUAUUUUAUAUAAAAUAUUAUUUAUUUCAUGAUAUAAUAGCAGUAGUUAAAUCUACAAUAUUUAAAUUAAAAAUCAUCAAUAUUAAUAUAUAUUUUUUGAAAUCAUUUUACAAUAUCAAUUUGAAGAGCAUUCUUAACUAAACACAUUAAACUAAUUUUUUUAUUCAAUCUCAAUUUCAACUAUAGUUUUAAUCAAAUAUAUAUAAAUACCAAACCAACCUCAACCAAAAAACAUCUUUUAUAAAAUAAUUUUUUAAAAAUCAAAAUCAUAAAAACUACCCUAAUUAAUACAAACCACAAAAGCUACUAUAAUAGUAUGUGGCAUUUCGAUGUCAAAUGGUUUGAUAAACUAUAGGUUGUGACCUAUAAUUAUAACCAACCAGUACUCAUCAGCUGAAGAUGUGGCUUGAUUUGGAUCCGUCUUUCACAAGAAAGAGUAUGCACUGAAGAAAGCAAACGAUCUGGCCAUAUCCUCUCUUUUGUUUUUGGACAUUGAGGCCAUCCGGCAAUGCUCAUCUCAAUUGAAGUUCGGUUUUGGGCUGGUGUAUACGUUGUUUUUUGGUGGCUUCUUAAUUAUGGAGUCCCUUAUUUGUUUCUACCUCUUGAAAAAUACAACUAUAGUUAUGUGAUGACCGUGCUCCGGUCAAGUCUAAAAUAUAUCAUUUGGUGAAAAUGCUUUCGAUAUAUAUAAUGCAGUUCAUAUCUACAGAAGUUCUUCCUUUUUCUUUGCUUAAUUGGACUGGCGAUGCAAAUUUUAGACAAGAUUAAGGAUGAGAACUAAGAUGCUUACUACUCUAGCUAGAGAUCCUAUAACUUACAAGAAACUAAUAAAACUCUAAACUCUAAACAUAAAUUAUUUUGUAAUUAAACAGUUUUUUCCCAGCAAAUGAGAAAAAAAACAUAAAUUAUACCGAUACCUUAUGCUCUUUUAUAUUUCCACGAAUUGUCUUCUCGCUUUCUCGCCUGAGCUUGAAGAGUUCGAACAUGAUAGGUUUCCAACAAAUACCAUCUUAGUUCGAAAUAUGCAUACCUGUAAUAUCAGCCCCUGACAUUACAGUAGUCAAUAUCGUAAUAAACAAUGUAAAUGAAAUAGUAGUUGCUACUUGCCGGCAUUGCAGCUUGGUUUGUGGAUCAUAAUUAUUAAUUAUCGACCUAGUCUAGCGAAUUCGCCAUGUCAAGUUUUACUUCAGAUUGUUUUGAACAUAGAUCAGGUCAAAUUCGAACAAUUUGUUGUGCUGACUUGCAAUCUAGUUCAUCAUAAAUUUGAGUGAGAUUUUGAUUAGGUCAAUUUAAGAUUUUUUUUUAAAAAAACACAAACAAUAUUGUUUUAGAAGAAAAUAAAAAUUGUUGACCCAGGUUCACUCGAUGAUCUAUGAAUUGACCUGAUAACUCAAUGAUUAAGAUCUAAAAUCAAGUUAAAUUGUAAGUUGAGUGUUAAAAAAAAAGCUAAAACAUGAUGGAAAUAUAUUGUAAAUAUACUUUGAAGUACAAUGGAUUCUAAUAGUGAGUUGACUAUUUUACCCUUAAAAAAUCACAAUCGUUUAAGAGGUAAAAUGAUUUUCUCACUUAGUUCGUUUGUUAUUCUAAAAUUAUUUAGGAGAAUCUCUUUAUUUUCAUGAUUUUUGUACAGUAACUCACUUUAUUGCCCUUAAAAAAAACAUUCAACUAUGGUUUAAGGGGCUUUUUUUUAUAUUUCAUGUUUUUUUACUACAGUGUAAUGAUUCUAUUAUCCUUUGAAUUAAAUUUUCAAAAGCUUGCCUACCUAGGCUUAUCUUUCAUUUUAUAUUGUUUUUUUUAUAAUGAUUUUUUAAUUUUUGAUCCUAGGGGUAAUGUAGUAUUUUCAUAAGCAAAAAAAAAAGUUGUGUGAGCUUUGCAAGCGCCAAUCACUCUGCCAUCUUCGAGCAACGUGUGCAACUGAUUUCGAUGGUGAAAAUUAUUCUCAUGUCGUGUCAUUCGAUUCAUCUCAGCUUUCUUUUUCUUCUCACAUAACACGUAUGGUGAACAGACCUCUAAUAAAGCACUGUCGACCUUUUGUUUUUUCCAUUCUUUUCUCUGUACUCCUAGCAUCGGUGCAUCCAACAGUUCUGCUUUUUCCUGUGCAUUGGUGCUUUUAGAAUGCUCAGUAUGAGAGCAAGGCUCUAGCAUUUUUUAAGCAUUAUCCUUUUUAACAGUCCCAGCAUUUCUAGUUGAAGGAGUUCCAUUCCUUGCUAUUGACUUCGGAAUCACAUCAUUACCUUCAAAAACUUCUUUCCGACAAGCAGCAUUUGGUGAUAAUCCCUUGGACAUUAGACCAACAGAAAAAUUAACAUUAAAAAGGAUGCCUAUUUUAAAAAAAGAAAAAAUCGAAAUUGCAGCAAAAGAGCACUGGGCACAAAUGCUACCUUUCAUGUCGCGGCCACACUUCUAUGAGGAAUAAUAAAAAGGUUAUCUCAUCUGUCUCUAAAUAGCAUAUGCAACAGUUAUGAGUUUAUUUUCCUCUUUAUUUUAUUUUAUUCAUUUUGCAUGAAAAGUCUAUCAGUCAUAGAUUGAUAACUGAAAUGUCACUAGUAGGGAAAAACAUCUCAUGUGGUCCCUCUACUUCUCAAAUUUGAUCAAAUCAACCAUGUCCCUUAAAUUAGACCAAAUCAACUCCACUUCCAGUUACGGAUUUCAGAUCCUCCACUUGAUUACAUCAUAACAAGUGGCAUUUAGCUGGCCAUUUAAAUAGUAAUGGAAUUAGAGGAAGGGACUGGCAUCACCUUUACUUAGAAAAAAAGGGUUGAUUUGAUCAAGUUUGAAGUAAAAGGUUUGAUUGAACCAAAUUAAGAAAGUAGGAGGCUGCGUGUGAUUUGUAGCAAAUCACAAGCAGUAUAAGACAGUAAACAGGUUUUGGAUUCUACAAAGCAGAUGAAAGGGAAACCAAAACUUAUUCUUGAAAAUGAAGUCAGAAAUUAUAUUUAGCAAAAGAAGAGAACUCUGGAUCAGUUUUCCAUCUUAGGUAACAGUUUUACAAUUGCAAGACAAGAUCACAAAAAACUCCACUCAAAUCCCAUGCAGUUAUAGACAGGGAUAAGAAUCAUACCAAAGGUUCCCCAGAAUGAUUGAAUAUGGUCUCAUUGAAUUAUUGAAUUAUUAUCAGGGAAAAUCUUCUUGCUCCUUUUAAUUCCUAUAACCAUCUUCAUUAUCUCCUCUAUUUUUUCUUGAAUUACUCUAGUAUAAUAGAGGGGAAAAAAAUUCACCUUUGGACAUACCUGUUAGAGUCUUAUAUGAUGGAAACAGAGCAAGUGGCAGAGGACGAUUGCCAUGUCAGUAAUGGUGCAAGAAAGAUUCUCUUGGGAAAGUACGAGAUGGGGAGGUUGUUAGGACAAGGAACGUUUGCUAAGGUCUACAGAGGGAAGAAUCUUGUGACAAAAGAAAAUGUUGCAAUCAAAGUGUUGCACAAGGAUCAGGUCAAGAGGACAGGAUUAAUGGAGCAAAUCAAGAGAGAAAUCUCAAUUAUGAAUCUUGUGAAGCAUCCAAAUAUAGUGGAGUUGAAAGAAGUGAUGGCUACCAAAUCAAAGGUUUUCUUUGUAAUGGAGUUUGUGAAAGGUGGUGAGUUAUUUGCCAAAAUCAAGAAGGGAGGGCUGGAGGAAGAUCUUGCAAGAAAAUAUUCCCAGCAGUUGAUUUGUGCAGUUGAUUAUUGUCAUAGUCGUGUCGUUUCUCAUCGUGAUUUAAAGCCGGAAAACUUGCUUUUGGAUGACAAAGAAGACUUGAAAGUGUCCGAUUUCGGGUUUUCUGCUUUGCCUGAGCAGAAAUGGAACGAUGGUUUGCUGCACACACGGUGUGGCACCCCUGCAUAUGUGGCUCCAGAGGUUCUAAGAAAGAAGGGUUAUGAUGGUGCUAAAGCUGAUACCUGGUCUUGUGGCGUUAUUCUAUUCGUCCUGCUUUCAGGGCACUUGCCCUUUCGCAAUGAGAACGCCAUGAAGAUGUAUGUGAAGAUUUUAAAGGCUGAAUAUGAGAUCCCACCGUGGAUUUCCAGGGAUGCCAAGAGGUUGAUUUCCAAUCUUCUUGUUGUGGACCCUGAGAAGAGAAUUACAAUCCCUGAGAUCAGGGCAAAUAGUUGGUUCCAAAAAGGUCUUGCUCAAUCUACUGUAUCUCCUAAUGAUUUAGAAGAUACUGAAAACGGAGUUAGAAGUGAAGAUCAAGAGGAAUUUCCAGGAAAAACCGGAUCAAAGCAUUCGCCGCCUUUUUAUAAUGCUUUUGAACUCAUAUCUCCCUCCCUUGCGUGGUUAUGAUGGAUUUGGCAAAUGGGUUAUAAAGGGCUUGGAGCUAAACUUGUACCCCUUUGCAACGAUUGGUUGGUCCAUGAUCCAAGAAACCCGAUUUAAAACUCAUCAAAAUUCAAUUACGUUAAAACUAAGAAAUUAGAAAAAAACGCAAAACAACGACAACUAUGCAAAAUAGAAUUCACCUACAACCAUCGGGCUGUUUUCCAAUCACAACAAGGUCUAAAUGCGGAAUUUAAAUAUAAUUGAGCCUAAGAAAGCAUCUCAGAGCAGCUUACUGGACCUGUUUUUUCUUCCAAAAGGCUAACAGCGUAUCCAGCUUCCAAUCUUUCCCACGAAAUCGAAUUGCAUUGAAGGAGAUAUUUGGAGUCGGAACCUAAAACCUCAAUUUUGAAACAUAGUUAUCUUGCUAUAACUCAUCUAAGGAUAGACAUAAAAAGGGCUUAUAUAGUUCUAGAAAAAUUCUACUUUGCUCAAGCUAUAAUUAGAAUGAUAGACAUAAAAAGGAGGAUAAAGAAAAUAAAAACCUGCAUUCGGCAUAGUCAUAAUUACAUAAUUGAUCCAUCAAAUACAGGCAUAUGAAGUUCUAUUAGAAUCACGAAUGCAUAAUCAUUCAGAAUCGGAGAAAGGCAGAUAUACCAUCGAUCCUUCAAACACAGAGACUUUCUUCAGCUGAAAAUUGUCUAACAUGGAAAAGAUGGUUGGAGAGUUUAAUUAUUUGAAACAAGACAGCACUUUGUGAUGGAUCUGUGUCACGCUAAUCCUUCUGGAAAUAAGACAUGACUGUAAACACAGUUUGUGCCAGGGUGAAUAGAAGCAAUGCAACAGCAGCUAAAAACGAAAGCAGUGCCCAUGGACUGUUGAAAUAAUCAUGCUUCAGUUUCGCCAUCCAUACAUUGCGCUUCCGAUUGCAAUGCUCCUUCACACCGUCGAAUACUUUAUUAUAACAAAAGUAACGACGAUGGGAGGGCACGACAUUUUUGCCUAGGUUAUUGAACAAGGAGCAGACCAUUCCAUCAUCGCCCAACCCAUUUUCAAUAAUUCCCGAGUGUCGAAGUAUCUGCACAUCUUCUUGAGUGCUGAUUAAACAAUCCAUCAGUGCUAUAUAAUCAGCGAACGUACAGUUGUUUGCGCUGAGAGCACUGUUCAUAGGCAACAAGAUUUCGGAACUGCGACUCUGUUCUGUCAAAAAUUUCCAAACAUGGGAUUUCUAUCGUGCCAUUUUCCAAGAAGUCAACAUCAAACAACCUACUUGAUCCCUCUCGCUUUUUGAAUUUAAUGCCAGCUUCUUGCAGCUCUUUGGCAUUGCGUAUGAAAUUCCAAUCGUUGUCCUGUCUGUAGCAAAUUGUCAACAUUUGCAAUUGUCAACAUUUUCUCAACCACCCUCUCCUUUACUCAACCACUAUCAACCACUCUCUCCUUGCUUUUUGAGCACCAUCACUUCUCAUCAAGGUGCUGCAAAAGCUCUCCUAUAAAGACAGAGACGAGAGAGUGCAUAGAGAAGAGAGGAAGUGUAAGUGCAGAGGAAGGUGUGGUGAGUGCAAGUGAUGCAACUGUGAGAGUGAAAAAUACAGAUUCGAGAGAAACACCGAGUGUAGAGAGAAACACUGGGUUUUGGGUAUGUAUUGGGGUUGAGUUUGAGUGUUUGUAUUAUUUCUCCAAAUAUAUACAAUCUGCUGCCUCCGUGGACGUACCCGGUUUUGGGGAACCACGUAAAUCUGUUGUUUGUGUUUUAUUUUGUGUUUGCUUUCGGUCCAGUAUUCACAACAAAUUGGUAUCAGAGCGUUUGGGAAGCUAGAACACUGAAAAAAAACACGUUUUUCAGCUCUCGGUUCGAAGUUGCAGAAUUUUCAAAGUUCUCAGAUCUUGAUUUUGACCAGCUGCCGAGAUUCCUCUCGUCGAUACGAGUCCGGCAAUAUAAAGAUCAUCGAAAUCGGAGUUAAAACGAGCCCUGUAGAGCUCGCCGAAGUUUUGCCGGAAAUCUGCCGGAAAAACCAGACUGCCGGAAUCCUUGCCUGAGAAGACUGCCACGUCAUCCGCCACGUCACCAAACAGUGACAGAAUAUUCUCUUGACAGAAUGAGAAUAUUCCGUUAACAGAGACAGAAUAUUCCGCUAACAGAGACAGAAUAUUCCCUUGACAGUGACAGAAUAUUCUCUUGACAGAAUGAGAAUAUUCCGUUAACAGAGACAGAAUAUUCUCUUGGCAGUGACAGAAUAUUCCCUUGGCUUUGACAGAAUAUUCCUUUCCUGAGUCAACUCGGUCAGAUUGGUUUUUUGGCCAACUCAGUGAUUUUGUAGCUCGUUUUUGGCCGAGUCAAGCUUGUUCCUAGCAUUUUCAACCGUUCCGGACGCAACCGUGGUGUCCGUUUUGUGAAACAGCACACGGAAGUUACUGUUUUGGCUCUUUUGAGCAUAAAAGUGCGUGGUUUAACAAUUUUGGGAGUCCAUUUGUAAUCCAAAGGUGUCAUAAUGGCUGAUGUUCCAGAAGAAAAAUCAGCGGGGAAUGCUAGUAUACCUCCACAAUACAUCCCGGUAUCGAAUACCAAAUUUGAGGUGGAGAAGUUUGACCGGAAAGGUAAUUUUGGCAUGUGGAAAUGUGAAGUUAUGGAUAUGCUUGUCCAAAUGAAUUUGGAUUUCACUCUAGAAGAUAAACCGAGGAUUUGGAUGAGAAAAGCUGGGAGAGGAUAAAUCGGUUAGCUUGCAGUUCCAUCCGACUUUGUCUUGUUAAGGAUCAGAAGUACGCCUUUUCAGAACAAAACUCUGCAAAGGAAUUAUGGCAAGCACUGGAGGACAAGUUUAUGAAGAAGAGUAUAGAGAAUCGUCUCUACUUGAAGAAAAGAAUCUUCCGUUUUCAGCACAAGAAAGGUACUUCCAUGAAUGAGCAUCUGAAUGAUUUCAAUAAAAUGAUAGCUGAUUUGAAGAAUUUAGAUGUGGAAAUAGAUGAUGAAGAUAAAGCUCUGUUAUUAUUGAAUUCACUGCCUGACACAUAUGAACAUCUCGUCACCACUUUACUGUAUGGUAAAGAAAAGAUUAAAUUCAUUGAUGUGUCCAAUGCUUUGGUGAAUAAUGAGUACCGGAAGAAGGACCAGAUUGUUCACAAGGAGUCAACGUCAGAAGCAUUGACAGUUAGAGGCAGAACAAACCCUAGAAGAUUUCGAGGGCGAGGGAGAUCUCGCUCAAAAUCUAGAGGAGAAUCAUCAAACAGGCGAUAUCUUGCAAAAGAUGAGUGUGCCUUUUGUCACAAAAAGGGGCACUGGAAGAAAGAUUGUCCAAUCAAGGGCAAUAAGGAAAAAGAUGAACCAACUGUGAACGUUGCACGAGAAGAAGAUGAACGAGACUCUGCAUUCAUGGUCUCAUCACCAGAAAAACAUUGUGGUGAAUGGAUUCUUGAUUCUGCAUGUUCUUAUCACAUGUCCCCUAACAAGCACUUAUUCUCGAGACUUGAGGAGUUCGAUGGAGGAGUUGUGUUUAUGGGCAAUAAUAAUGUUUCUGAGGUCAAAGGGAUUGGGACUAUCCAUCUGAAGAUGCAUAAUGGGGUAGUCAAGACACUAACAGAGGUACGGUAUGUACCUGACUUGAAGAAAAAUCUCUUCUCACUUGGAGUCCUAGAAUCCAGUGGUUAUAAGAUUAUCAUGCAUGGUGGAGUCCUCAGAGCAAUCCGUGGUGCAUUAGUUGUCUUAAGAGGCACGAGGAUAGGAAACUUAUAUUUCCUAGAUGGAUCUACUGUUACUGGUAUAGCAGCUGUUUCCAAAAGCCUAGAAGAUGCUGAAGCAGAUAAUUCCAGACUUUGGCACAUGCGCUUAGGGCAUGCUGGUGAAAAGGCUUUGCAAGGACUAGUCAAGCAAGGUCUAUUAAAAGGCGCCAAGACUGGGAAGCAUGGGUUCUGUGAGCAUUGUGUUCUUGGAAAACAGACAAGGGUCAAGUUUGGCACUGCAAUACACAACACAAAAGGGAUUCUAGAUUAUGUUCACACAGAUGUAUGGGGACCUUCAAAGAAUGAAUCUCUUGGAGGUAAUCGUUGGUUUGUUACUUUUAUUGAUGAUUUCUCAAGACGAGUAUGGGUGUACAUGAUGAAACACAAGGAUGAGGUCCUUGAUAUCUUUCUGAAAUGGAAGAAAAUGGUGGAGACUCAAACGGGAAGGAGAGUUAAGACUCUUCGGUCAGAUAAUGGUGGUGAGUACACUUCAGAUCCUUUCUUUGAAGUUUGCCAGGAUGAAGGGAUCAAGCGACAUUUUACUGUGCGCAAAACACCACAACAAAAUGGAGUAGCAGAACGCAUGAACCGCACAUUGGUGGAGAAAGUCCGAUGUAUGCUAUCACAUUCGGGACUAAGCAAAGUGUUCUGGGGCGAGGCAUUAAGCUAUGCUCGUCAUAUUGUUAAUCGGUUACCUUCAGCAGCAUUAAAUGGAAGAACCCCCUUGGAGGUAUGGUCAGGCUCUCCUGCAAAUGAUUAUGACUCUAUGCGUAUAUUUGGUUGCUCAGCAUAUUAUCAUGUUACUGAGUCAACUAGAUCCUAGAGCCAAGAAAGCUAUAUUUUUGGGCUUUAGUGGAGGAGUAAAAGGUUACAGACUCUGGUGUUCUGAAUCAAAGAAAGUGAUUUUGAGUAGAGAUGUCACUUUUGAUGAGUCUGGCAUGUUACAGCAGGAGAAAUCACAGGAGAAGGAAAAACAGUCUGGUGAUGCACAACAGGUGGAGUUGGAGACUUCAGUCAUCCCUAUAAAGACUGUUCAGACAAUCCCUACUGAAGGAGAUUCAGAUGAAAGUUCAGAUGAAGAGGAUGCAACAACUCCAGCAACCACACAACAAGAAUCCAUUGCAACGAGUAAACCGAAAAGAGUUAUCAAGAAACCUGCUCGGUAUUGUGACAUGGUGGCUUAUGCACUUCCAGUGAUUGAUGAUGGAAUCCCCUACACCUACAAAGAAGCAGUACAGAGUGUAGAAAGUGCAAAAUGGAAAGAGGCAAUGGAUGAAGAGAUGAAAUCUCUCCACAAGAAUCAGACUUGGGAUUUGGUACAACUCCCUAAGGAAAAGAAGACAAUUGGUUGCAAGUGGGUAUAUGCCAAGAAGGAAGGUAAUCCUGGAAAAGACAACAUCCGAUUCAAAGCAAGAUUGGUAGCAAAAGGCUAUGCUCAGAAGGGGGAUAGAUUAUAAUGAGGUAUUCUCUCCAGUUGUUAAGCAUUCAUCAAUUCGUAUUUUGCUAGCCUUAGUUGCACAAUUUGAUUUGGAGUUAGCCCAACUUGAUGUGAAAACUGCCUUCCUACAUGGAGAUUUGGAAGAGGAAAUUUACAUGUCUCAGCCAGAUGGUUUAAAGUCACUGGGAAAGAGAAUUGGGCUUGUAAACUGAAGAAGUCAUUGUAUGGCUUGAAACAAUCUCCUCGCCAGUGGUAUAAGCGAUUUGAUAAGUUCAUGACAGAACAUGGAUACACACGGAGUCAGUUUGACAACUGUGUAUAUUUUCGCAAACUUCUUGAUGGUUCUUUCAUCUAUUUGCUCUUAUAUGUGGAUGAUAUGUUGAUUGCAUCAAAGAGCAAGGUGGAGAUUGAUAGACUGAAAGCUCAACUGAGAACUGAGUUUGAAAUGAAGGACCUUGGAGAAGCUAAGAAGAUUCUUGGCAUGGAGAUUCAGAGAGACAGAAGAAAAGGCACAGUCUGUUUGACACAGACCCAAUACUUGAAGAAAAUUCUACAGAGAUUUGGGGUAGAUGGUAAGACCAAGCCGGUAAGCACACCUUUAGCUCCUCAUUUUAAGCUAAGUGCUUCAAUGUCUCCACGCACAGAGGAAGAGCGCAAACAUAUGGCUCAAAUUCCGUAUGCAAAUGCAGUUGGUGCAUUAAUGUAUGCAAUGGUUUGUACGAGACCAGAUAUUUCACAUGCUGUCAGUAUGGUGAGCAGGUAUAUGCAUGAUCCGGGAAAGGGUCACUGGCAGGCAGUUAAGUGGAUUCUACGGUACAUUCAUGGCACAACUGAUAUUGGUUUGAAGUUUGAGAGGGAUGAUAGACUCGAACAAAAUUUAGUUGGUUAUGUGGAUUCGGAUUAUGCUGGUGACUUAGACAAGCGUCGUUCCACAACAGGCUAUGUGUUUACACUUGCUAAAGGGCCUGUAAGUUGGAGGUCAACUUUACAAUCAACAGUAGCUUUGUCAACAACUAAGGCAGAGUACAUGGCAGUAACAGAAGCUUUUAAGGAAGCUAUUUGGUUACAUGGGUUGAUUGAAGAUUUGAGAAUUGUUCAAGAGCACGUGGUUGUCCAUUGUGAUAGUCAAAGUGCUAUUUGUCUUGCAAAGAAUCAGGUUCAUCAUUCCCGCACCAAGCACAUCGAUGUUCGUUUUCAUUUUGUUCGAGAAAUUGUGGAUGAAGGGGAUAUUCUGCUACAGAAGAUUGGUACCGCAGAUAAUCCAGCUGACAUGCUCACAAAAUGUGUCUCAGGGAUCAAGUUCCAACAUUGUUUGGACUUGAUCAACAUCUCUUGAUGUUGAGCACCUUCAGGGUGCAGCGCCAUAUGGCGCAUUUGGUGGCAGCAAUGAUUGAUCACGAGGAUUGGAUGGAAAAAUCUUGCCAAGGUGGAGAUUUGUAGCAAAUUGUCAACAUUUGCAAUUGUCAACAUUUUCUCAACCACCCUCUCCUUUACUCAACCACUAUCAACCACUCUCUCCUUGCUUUUUGACCACUAUCACUUCUCAUUAAGGUGCUGCCAAAGCUCUCCUAUAAAGACAGAGACGAGAGAGUGCAUAGAGAAGAGAGGAAGUGUAAGUGCAGAGGAAGGUGUGGUGAGUGCAAGUGAGUGCAACUGUGAGAGUGAAAAAUACAGAUUUGAGAGAAACACCGAGUGUAGAGAGAAACACUGGGUUUUGGGUAUGUAUUGGGGUUGAGUUUGAGUGUUUGUAUUAUUUCUCCAAAUAUAUACAAUCUGCUGCCUCCGUGGACGUACCCGGUUUUGGGGAACCACGUAAAUCUGUUGUUUGUGUUUGCUUUCGGUCCAGUAUGCACAACACUGUCGUGCCCUCGUAACAGGCCGCUGAUACCCAGUACGAUACAUUAUGUCAAGAAGAUGCUUGCAUCCUUUCUCAGGAAUUGUAUGGUUUCCGAAGCCUCGAAGUAUCCGCUGGCAAAAAUUUAAGGCCAUAUCAAAGAAGUCUUCGUUCUGAUCCGCAGAUAUCUUAGCAAACAACUCCAGAAGAACAAAGAAUGGAAGUUGAUUCUCAAGCAACAUCGUAUCAGUUAUUAUGCUUGAGAGGAUCCAAGGCACUUCGAAAACAGGGUCAUCUUCACCGCUUACUCCUGGACUAUUGUUACACUUGCGAAUAAACUCAACAAUGAAGCAACCAUCAAGAAGCAACAUUUCAACGAAUUUAUCCUGGCCUAGACUUACGGACUGAUCAUAAAAUUCACGAGCUUUUCCUUCCACCCCCCUCAUGGCCUCAACAUAUCUUUCCACGCUACUUUCCCCUGUGCGUUGAAGAAGCUCUUGUAGAUACCGUUUUUUAUGUUCUUCCAUCAUCUUCAAUUUAUCUUUUCCACGAUGAUAAGGGCCGAUGGAGAGGAUUUGCGGCUCAAAUGCCCUUUUGUUUACAUGGCGGAGGCGAUUAGGAACCUUGAAAAUACUGCAUGUUGAGUGAUUAGAAGGCAAAUAUUCUCCAAGCUUUUCGUCGAUUUUAACGAUUAAAGGGUCACAACGACUCAUCUCUUUUUCCUGAAAUCAAUGGAUGCAAAAAUGUUUAAAAAAAUGUCCCGACGAUUCAUCUAAAACUUUAUUUUGAAUGUAAUUAAAAAUGUGCGUGUUACUGAUGCCUUUUCUAUAGACAAGAAACAUAUUGAUUAUAAAUUCAAAAUUUGAGGUAUAUAAAAGUUAUAUUUGUUUUUACAUUUCAAUGUGUUUUUGAAACAAUUUAUUUUAUUUUGAAUUAAUAUUUUUUAGGUAUUCUCGGAUCAUUUUGAUAUGUUGAUAUUAAAAAUAUUUUUUUAAAAAUAAAAAAAAUUUAUUUAAAUACAUUUCAUAAUGAAAAACACUUUGAAAAACAACAGUCAUCGCAUUUCCAAACAUUCAAAACUAAAUUUCAUUUUUAAAUAUUAGAUGAUACUAUUUUUUAUUGACUCAAGUCAACUCGUCAAGCAUGUGACUCAGAUUAUAAACCCGACUAUGUUUAAUAAUAUUAUUCUUUUAAAAAUAAAUUUAUUUAAUUAUCUAAUAAUUAAAAUAAAUAUGGUUAAAAAAGUAACAGCCAGACACAAAUUCAGAAAAUAAUUAUGGUAUGUAAAACAAAACGCUUAAUAAUGACUCCUAUAUUCAUAUUAAAAAUAAUAUUGAUAUUUAAUAAAAUAAUAUCUAAAAUCUAUUCUUAUUUAAUUUAAUAAAUUAAUAUUUUAAAUUAAUUAAUUUUUUAAAAAUAAAAUUUAAAAAUAAAACCAAGAAAAAGGAAAAAAAGGAAAAGAGCCAAGUGCACAAGCUUGGGAUGCCCAGCACACCUAACCCUCUAAAAAGGGCCCAAGCACAUGGCCUUCCAAGCCAUGCCCACGUGCUUGGCUUUAAUCAGAAAACUCAGCAGCACUUGAGCUAAGAAGCCUAGACUUGUGCUUGGAAACCCGCACCUCUUUUUUUUCUUCAGUGUUGUUUUUUAUCUAGGCGGAUGAUAUGUCAUUUGUAGUGGCAAGUGAUUUAUUGGCAUCUAAGUGCUGCCUAAAUUCUACCAUCAUUGUGAUGAUUGAAAAAUUAAAAUCAGGUGAUUUAUGGUUUAAAAAUAUAUUUUUUUAAUAUUUUUUUAUUUAAAAAUACCUAUUAAAUAUCAUAAAUUUUUUAAUAAAUACACAUGGGGUUGUGGCCUAGUGGUUGAAGGGACUUGUUUCCUUCCUCCACAUCAGGGUUCAAGCCCCACUUGUGUAUGCAUGUCACCCUCGCGGUGCCUUACAUGCUCACUGGACUUGCAGGAUGUUCAGUGAGCCCGAGGAUUAGUUGUGGUGCGCGCAAGCCGACCCGAACACCCCGGGUUACCAAAAAAAAAAACAAAAAUUAAUAAAUCACUUAUCAACCCCAAAAUUACUCAAGAAAUAAAAAUUAACCGAAUUAAAAAAUCUACACAAACCUAAUUUAUAUUUUCAAACAAUUUUAUAGAUAAAAAGACCCUACCAUUAAACUCCUUUCUUAUCGAUGACUUUCUUAAAAUAAAAACUAAAAAAUAAAAUUAAAAAAAUAAAGUUCUUAAAUGAAAUGAAACUCCAAAAAAAUAAAGGGACUAUAAUAGAAGAAAAAUGAAAAUAUAGGGAUAAAAAAAGAACUUUUGUUGUGCUAAUUUAAGAUUAGCCAUUAUAAUUUUUCUGAGUUUACUUUUGGUCCUAUAUUUUUAAUUGUGUUUUUCUAUAACAAAUUAGUUAUUAAUUUGAUAAAGCAUCCAAUUAAAAAUAACAAAAAAUUAAAAACCAUACGAAUCCACAACGCACUCAGUAUUAUUUUUUUCUCAAAUUUUUUAGUGUUUUUACUAAUUUCCAAGCCUGGAAGUAGCAUUUAUAUUCUUUUGGGUAUCCAUAUAUGAACAAAUAUCACUAUAUAUAUGUGAUUUUUUUUCCCUUUAGGGAGAUGAUCAUUAAGUAUAAAACUAUAAUGCGUGGGUUUUUUUCCGUGCAAAAUUUCAAUACUCAUUUUCUUAUAUAUUAAUGUGAAUGGACAGAGCAAAAUAUUUUAAUUUUUUAAUUUUGUUCCCAAACUUUUUUUCUUAGUGAUUUAGUUUUAAUUCAAAACCAAUUGAUUUUGAUUUCUUAUAAAAUGGUGUGAUUGAAAGAAGAGGGACAAAACAAAAAAGGCACUAAACAUAGGUGGUGUGCCAUAAGUUUUACAAAAGAUACACUUUGAUCCUCAAACUUAAAAAAUAACAGAGAUUAUAAAAUUCUGAUUAUAUUUUGGUAUCAAAGUUAAUUUUUAUUAUUUUUUAGAGUUUGGUUAAGAUAGAGAAAGGUUAAUAGAUUUCAAUGAUAAAGAGACAAAUAUGUUGUUAACACUGAUUUAAACCACCAAAAUAAAUGAUAUUUGUGACAAAUGAUUUCAUUUGAUGAGAGAAGUUCAUAUUGAGUUUUUUUUUUACCUUCAAAGUUCAUGAAAAAAUAAAUCUAAGCUUGAGUUUAUUUUAGUUUUUGGGGUGCUUUUUUAUUUUUUGAGGACAUCGAUAGGUUUAACACAGUUCCUAAGAUUUUAAUAGGUGUUUUUGGUUAAAAAAAAAAACAAAUGGGUUGAAAAAUUAGUUUUUAGGGAAAAAACACUUAAGCUCUUAUUUUUCAGCCAACACUAUAGUGAUCAAAUUCUAGGAAAAAAUAAAUGACGUGCACGUAAUUUGUUUGUUUUCAAAACAAAUUACGGGUCAUCUGCACCAAGAGUAACAAAUAAAAAAGGACCGAGGCACGCGGGCCUACUAGAAAAGGCCUAUAUGCAGGCCUAAUAAAAUGGGUCAGACACACUAUUAUUUUUUUUCUUCUAGUUUGUUUUUUAUUGAUACCUUUUUCUAGCGUGUUUUUUUUAAAAAAAUAAUUUUUAAAUUUAUGUUUCAAUUAAUAUUAAUCAUUUGUUAUUUUUUUAUUUGUUUAUUUAAUUUUGUUUGGAUAGAGAUUUUUAUAAAAAAAAUUAUUUUGUGUGUUUUGAAUUCUUGAAGAGAUUCUGAUUCAUCAUUAAAUUUUUUUAAUAUUUUUUAUAGAUGGAUUUUAUUUUUAAAAAUAUUUUUUUUAUUUUCAGAUAAUAUUUUUAAUAUAUGCAGCUUUGCAUAAUAUUUUUUUUAUUUUGUUCAAUAAAUUUUACAUAUUUGUCUAUUUCUACUAUUAUUUGAUUGAAUAAAAAAAUAUAAACAAAAUUAAUUUAGCAAGCAUAAUUGGGUAAAUGUCGAUUCUUGUGAAAUUAAAUAUCUUAUCUCUUAAUUUUUAAAAUUUUAGUUUUGGUAUUGUAAAUGACUUUUGAUUUAUUUAUCAACACACAUUGUUUUUGAUUGAUUUGAUUAUAUAUAUAUAUAUAAUAAAAAUAUUUUACCUGCAGCGAAGAACUGCUCAUAUAACUAGUUACUUAUAGAAGAAAUGAAAAGGGGAAAAAAUGGAAAGGGCAACUACACCCUCCAGUCCCCCUUGGUUGUGUCACUGCUUUUAACAAGGAUAAUGUUCUAUUCUCAAGGACGACGUUUAGCAACAAGAAGAAGAAGAAGAAGAAGGAAAUAGGGUAUUGAAUUCGGACAACAUAAACAAUAUAGAAGAAAAGCAUCAAUAGAUUCAUUUUUUGACAAAUAAAAAGAAUUAAAAAGUAAAUGUCUCUUUGAACAUUGAGUUAAUUACACCUUUGAGAGAAGUUGUAUUUACCUUAGGAGUUGUGAUAUUAGUUUUUUUUUCAUGUAAUUUGCUAGUAGCAUUGUCACCUUGUUACACCCAUCUUAAUAACUUCAGUGGCACAUGUUUACUCAUGAAAGAUGUUGGGUUUUGUUGAGAGAAGCAUAUGUAUAUAAUCUCCAUAGGAAUAAUUAUCUCUCCAUUCAAGAUCCUAUCGAAUCGUAAAAACAAUAAUAUUCUACAGCGCUACUUGUGAGUGGAAUCAUGCAUGGUGAAGGAUUUUUUAGUACUUACCAGGUUUGAUAUUGACGCACAGAAAGCUCAAACCUUGCUCUGCAAUGGAUCUUCUCUAGAGCUGGGAUAUAUAGAUUCUUUUUGUAACUAUCAACCCUUACCAAAAGUCGACAAAGAAAUUAGAAUGAUAUGUAGAUCAGAAAUAGAACUAGUCGCCCUACUAUGCCAAGAGGACGAAGACUUCAUAAGCUGAAGAGUCUUCGUCUUUAAUCUCUGCAUGCUAUACAAUGAUCACUUCACAUGGUUACUAUACAAUGAUCACUUUACAUGGUUACUUUUGUUAAUUACUAGAUAUUUAUUUCUUUUCCACUCCCCUAAAAGUGACCAUUAACUGUUGAAUGGAUCGAUGAUUUAAAAAUAGAAAUGGACCCUCACUUGCCCCUCCCAUUUUAUUUAUUACUCUCUACACUUGGAUGUCAGAUAUAUAUUUUAUUAGAUUUUUAUGUCAAAACAUUCUAGGUUAUUUAUGUUUUUAAAAUUUUUAAACCUGGUUCUGCCUGGUCAUUUGACUCGGAAAAUCUGAAACCUAGAGUGCGACCUGAGAGAAGGGUUUCUAACUGAGUAAAAAAAAACAAAUAUUAUUCUGGUGAAACCUGAUUGACUUUAUAGUAUUUUGAACCCAAUAUUGAAACAACAAUUCAAAAACCCUUUCCUGAAUCAGAUCAGGAUUGACUGCUACAGUUCUGCUAUUCUCUCAAAUUGCAUUGCAUCCUAUUGCUUGUAGCCAAAUUAUGGCAGAUGUUUCCUGUCGGUCCCCCAAACACUGGUUUUAUCUCACUGUUUAUGCCAUGUUAUUGAGAGCCGCAAGCGUCCUCUAUCCUCCAGUAAAAAUGAAGAAAAGUAAUCCCCUUGCUCGGCAAUAAUGACGUCAACAUAAUGAAUAUAUCAGGGACUGCUGUCAUCAUAUUAUUGGUUGGUAAUCUUGCCCCACUAGAUGAUUUAAUUAUAGGUAUUUAAACUAGUGGCAACUUCUUACACGAUUCUUGAUCCCGUGUUUUUUGUCAGCAUCAUUACCUGGGACGUGGUUUUUUUUGUUGAAUAACUUUCCAAUUAACUUAAUCCACAGGAAUGAACUUUAUUUUAUAUGUCUUCGAGCAGAUAUGUCUUCUGCUUUGUCUUGUGAUUGGUUCCUGCAUGAAUUGGCUUGGUUUCAAGAAUUAUUGUCUCUCCACGCAUGACUUGAUCACUAGUUAGUGUAUCUCAUCAAGAGGUUAACCCAUCCCCCAUCAUUUCACACGCUUUUGCACGACAAAGACAUUGUAUACUUCAUUAUAUUGGACUACUCAAUCAACCAUUUCCAUGAUGUAAUGCAAUCCCUCCUAACCGUGGCACGCUAUUAUUCUGAUGUUCAUCUGGAAAAGAAAAGGAUAAGGAUCGUUGCCUGUUGAUGGAUAACUCUUGCACUCAAACCACUUUCGAAGUCUCUGGUGUGUGGAGCAAAAUCUUUUCUUGUUUCUUUCUUCUGUAAAAUCCUGGAUUGGCCAACAUUUGUUGUCUACCUUAUCUUAAAUCCUGGACUGUCAUUUCUGGGGAGUAAAUGACAGUUGAAUAUUCAAUCUCUUUUUUAUCACGUAGUGCAUAAUGAUAAGGUUUGUCAAGAUAGGAAACUCUAAUCUCAUGAAUUCUAAAUAUGAAUAGUGAUAAUCUCCUAAUCUACUAUAAGAAAAUAAUCUUAGAUAUUUAUACUAAAUCUAAAUUCUUAUAAAAAUAAAUUCUUAAUUGAAAAGUUAUAUAACCAAUAAAUCUCAUCUACCAUUAGAAUUAUUAAACUAAACAAAUCCUAAAAAAUCUUGACAAUUAAACAAAUAAUUAUAUAGAAAUCCACGCAAUCUUGUGACGAUGCAACCUUCGCAAAUAAACGGUGGCAUCUUGUCCUGCUCAAAAAUGGAAAUCAUUUCCCUUCUUGGAUUUUCCGUUUAGCAUAUAGCUCGAUUCCAUACCGUAAAAUACUUUGUGCAUACUUGGAAGUAUCUUUCCUCCGAUUUGAUGUCCUUAUAUUGUCAUCUCUGCAUCUAUACCGACAUUCAAUUGCCUAGACUAGAAGGUUCACUAUGUAGACGAAUCAAUAUAAUAUGGUCGACACUACUUCUAUGCUUCCAGCCUCUUAUUGGCCAUAUAUUUUCUCUGUAGAUGAUGUAGAUUCCCUAAUCUUUCACCGUCUCCGGCUCUCCAGCCUCUUAUUGAACUUUAGAGUGGCAGUGAGUGAUACAGAAUUCAAGGUGAAAUUGCUAGGAAAAGAGGAGGGACGGAAGGGGAAGCUGGCGGUGACAGCAGAGGUGUUUGAGUUGGCUGCCGAGCUUGCGGUGGUCGAGUUAUCCAAGUGCUCCGGUGACACUUUUGAGUACACCAAAUUCUGUGAAGAAGAUGUCAGGCCUGCCCUAAAAGAUAUAGUUUGGAGCUGGCAAGGUGAUAAUAUUGAUUCUCAUGAAGGCCAAGUAGGAACAAGUAAUUAGGAUGGUUAAUGGUCGUUAAUUGACAAAAAACCUCAAAAUUAGAACUCUAACGGUCGCUAGUUUUACAUAUUUGCUUGUUUUAGGCUUUAUAAUUGUGUGUUGUGUAAUGUUAUUAAUGCGAAUAUACGGGCAUGUAAUUUGUCUAAACAAGAGAUUGGUAGAGAGGAUUGAUGAUUUUCCCGUACUUGGGUUAGUUUGCUUCUAGCUUUCCUUCUCAUUGUUGAUAUGGAUAUCAAAAAUAAUUUGUAAUUUUUCCCAAACAUGCUCGAAAGAAGGUCUGUUUCAGGAAAUUUGUACGUUUUCUCGGCCAUAAUGAUCUUCUUUAUCUCUCUCCCUUGCGUGGUUAUGAUGGAUUUGUCAAAUGGGUUAUAAAGGGCUUGGAGCUAAACUUGUACCCCUUUGCAACGAUUGGUUGGUCCAUGAUCCAAGAAACCCGAUUUAAAACUCAUCAAAAUUCAAUAACGUUAAAACUAAGAAAUUAAAAAAAAAAAGCAAAACAACGACAACUAUGCAAAAUAGAAUUCACCUACAACUAUCGGACUGUUUUCCGAUCACAACAUGGUCUAAAUGCGGAAUUUAAGUAUAGUUGAGCCUAAGAAAGCAUCUCAGAGCAGCUCAAUGGACCUGUUUUUUCCUCCAAAAGGUGGGCUCACAAAUCCUCCUGGAAAGGAUAACAGCGUCUCCAGCUUCCAAUCUUUCCCACGAAAUCGAAUUGCAUUGAAGGAGAUAUUUGGAGUUGGAACCUAAAACCUCAAUUAUGAAACAUAGUUCUUUUGCUAACUCAUCCUGUUCUUUUGCUAACGUACGGUGGGGGGGGGCGAUUUUUGUGAACAGUGAGGCAAAACAGGGGGGAGAUUUCUAAAGAGAUGCACUAUCAGUGUAGAAAAUGAUGCUGAUCUUCAAGGCUGCUGAUCAAGGUGCGGAUGCAGAGAGGUUUGCCACUGCUGCUGGAAUGGUUGAAGAUGAGAUAAAGGCUGACGGUGCUGCUGCUGAAGCUGUUGGUCUGGCUGAUUCCCUUGCCGCUGUUCACAAUGUUGCUGCUGUGACCGGAGUCUCUUGAUGGGAACAAGAAAAACGAAGCUACUGUGAACAAAGAAGGAAAGGGAGUGGACGUUGCUUGGAUGUUGGACAUGACUGAUGCUGAAAAACCUCUGCUGCUUCUCACGACAGGCAGAGGAGAAGCUGGCAUUACUAAGAAGACUUCUGCUCAGGGUCUAGAAGACUGGCAGCUGUGAAGGAGAGAAGGCUUCUUGUUUUUAUUGGAGAGAGGAAAGUCUUGUUUCUGUGAUGGGUAUUUAUGAGAGAAAUGGGUAAUUGGGUGUGGCUUUUUCUGGGUUUAAACCAACACUAUUACAGGCCUGCUUGCUAAGAUGGUUUGACUAUGUUUAAAAUUUGGGUUCAAACUAUGUUUGUUAUUUAACGAGUAUGUUUACUUGUUUAAUUCGGUCUAGCAUGUUUAUGUUUGUAAUUUGAACUAAUAUGUAUGUAUAUGACAUCGAAACUUAAUAUUUAUGCAUGACUAUGUUUGAUGUUAGAUAUUUAUAUUUAUAUCUUGAUGUUUAUUUGAUAUAUAUUAAAGGGAUAUUAAAGAGAUAAUUGUCUUUACCUGUACAAAAAAAAUAUUUAUCCAAAAAACCCAUAAAAAUAUUUUUGUAUGUAUUUAUCUUUUAAAAAAUUCUUCAUACAAAAAAAAAAAAACCCAAAUAUAUAACUCUUACCAUAAACUAAUUUGGCUUUCUUCAUAUGAAAAAAAAAAACUUAUUUUAAGAUUUUAAAAUUAAAAAAAAUAUAUUAAUAGGUUUUACGUAAAAAAAUAUUUCACAAGCUUAUUUCUCUAUAAUAUGAUAUGACAUAUAUAGUUAUAUUUUAUAAAAUAAGCUAUGUAUGAAUAUAGGAUAUAAUAAUAAAAAUUCAUCAUUAUACUUUUUAGAUUUCAUUUUUUUUUAUUGUAAGUGAUUAAAUAUUAUAUUAGAUAAACUUGAAAAAAAAAUUAAUUCAUUAAUAAAUUAUUUUCCAGUUUAUUUUUCAUAACACUACCAAACAUCGAAAAAUACUUUUUCGGAAUUCACUUUCCAGAAAUUUACUUUUCUCGAAAUUUACUUUCCAAAAAAAAAUAAUUUUCCUGCAAACAAAUGGAGCCUUAAAUAGUUUUUUUAAGUUUAACCCCUGUCAAGUUCUACUUGAUCCAUCAAUCAGAUCAAAUUGCAUUUAAUAAAGAGAUUAGCACAACUAAUCAUAGUACACAGAACCAAUUUGGCUAGGGCCUCAUGUUUUUAGUUUAUUGGUUCAAUUAGCAUGUUAACCAGUAGAUGAACUAGUAAAUAAUGUUUAUAUACUAUUACGAGUUUCAGUUUCAGAUUGUUGUUUUUUUUCUGACCCUUCCCCUCUUCUUUCUUAGACCUUAGCAUCUUAAUUUUUUAUGAUAGCUAGUCAAGUUUCAAAUUCAAGGGAAGCCAGCAGAGAUGAUGUUGAUGCCAUAGCUUGUGUAUGGUGAGUUGGUGACAUUCAGGAAAAAAGAAAAAAAGAAAAGAAAAGAGGAAUAAAUUAAGCUUCAAGAUUUAUUAUAUAUCCACUGCAUUCUAAAUGUAUGCUCGACCGAUGGCAUAUAAAAGAAAGAAAAGGAACCUCAUCCUUGACAUUCCUAAUCUCAAUUACAUCUCAGAAUAAUUAAUUUUAUCGAUUUCAUCCCAAAGCUACUCGAUGUUGGGCAAUUUCCCCAUUGAAGAACUAAAAUACAUUCAAAAAUACCCGAAGGUUCUUGCAUACAAAGCAAUAUUUCAUAAUUUUUGAUAACUUUGGGAUGAUAUUGAUAAGACUGAUAAUUUGUGAAAAUAAAGAUCACACAAUACAUUAAGAACAAUGAUGAGAAAACAAACAAGUGGGCUAUAUAGUUCUAGAGAAAUUCUACAUUGCUCAAGCUAUAAUUAGAAAGAUAGAGAUAAAAAGGAGGAUAAAGAAAAUAAAAACCUUCAUUCGGCAUUACAAUAACCAAGCAUAGUCAUUAUUACAUAAUUGAUCCAUCAAAAUACAGGCAUAUGAAGUUCUAUUCGAAUCACGAAUACAUAAUCAUUCAGAAUCGGAGAAAGGCAGAUAUACCAUCGAUCCUUCAAACACACAGACUUUCUUCAGCUGAAGAUUGUCUAACAUGGAAAAGAUGGUUGGGGAGUUUAAUUAUUUGAAACAAGACAGCACUUUGUGAUGGAUCUGUGUCACGCUAAUCCUUCUGGAAAUAAGACAUGACUGUAAACACAGUUUGCACCAGGGUGAAUAGAAGCAAUGCAACAGCAGCUAAAAACGAAAGCAGUGCCCAUGGACUGUUGAAAUAAUCACGCUUCAGUAUCGCCAUCCAUACAUUGCACUUACGCCUCCGUAUCUGCAUCCAUAAAUUGCGCUGCCGAUGGCAAUGCGUCGUCACACCGUCGAAUACUUUAUGAUAACAAAAGUCAAGAGGAUCGGAGCGUAUGACAUUUUUGCAUAGGUUAUUGAACAAGGAGCAGACCAUUCCAUCAUCGCCCAACCCAUUUACAAUAAUUCCCGAGUGUCGAAGUAUCUGCACAUCUUCUUGAGUGUUGAUUAAGCAAUCCAUCAGUAUUGUAUAAUCAGUAACGUACUGAGGUAUGCACCCAUAGCACUGUUCAUAGGCAACAAGAUUUCGGAAUAGCGACUCUGUUCUGUCAUCAAUUUUCAAACAUGGGAUUUCUAUCGUGUCAUUUUCCGGGAAGUCAACAUCAAACAACCUCCAUGAUCCCUUUCGCUUUUUGAAUUUAAUGCCAGCUUCUUGCAGCUCUUUGGCAUUGCGUAUGAAAUUCCUAUCGUUGUCGUUUGGUGAUCCACUCGAAUCAGGCAGCUGAUUAUAAUAUAGCAUGUCCAGAAGAUGCUUGUAUCGAUUCUGGCGAUCAAUUGUAUGGUUUCCUAUGCCUGGAAAUAUCUGCAGGCAAAAACUUAAGGCCAUACCAAAUAAGUCUUUUUCGUUCUGCUCAGACGUCAUAGUAAACAACUCCCGAAGAACAAAGAAUGGAAGUUGAUUUUCAAGUAACAACAUAUCAGUUUUUAUGCAUGAGAGGAUCCAAGGCACUUCGAAAACAGGGUCAUUUACUCCUGGAAUAUUGUACUUGCGAAUAAGCUCAACAAUGAAGCAACCAUCAAGAAGCAACAUUUCAACAAAUUCAUCCUGGCCUAGACUUACGGACUGAUCAUAAUAUUUACGAGCUUCUGCUUCCACCCGACUCAUGGCCUCAACAUAUCUUUCCACGCUACUUUCCCCUCUGCGUUGAAGAAGCUCUUGUAGAUAACGUUUUUUAUGUUCUUCCAUCAUCUUCAAUUUAUCUUUUCCACGAUGAUAAGGGCCGAUGGAGAGGAUUUCCGGCUCAAAUGCCCUUUCGUUUACAUGGCGGAGGCGACUAGGAACCUUGAAAAUACUGCAUGUUGAGUGAUUACAAGGCGCUCUAAGUUUUUCGUCGAUUUUAACGAUUAAAGGGUCCCAAAGACUCAUCUCUUUUACCUGAAAUUAAUCGAUACAAAAAUGUUUUAAAAAAGUCCCAACGAUUCAUCCAAAACUUUAUUUUGAGUAUAAUUAAAAAUGUGCGUGUUACUGAUGUCUUCUCUAUAGACAAGAAACAUAUUGAUUAUAAAUUCAAAAGUUGAGGUAUAUAAAAGUUGUAUUUGUUUUUAUUUUUUAAAGUGUUUUUGAAAUAAUUUAAUUUAUUUUAUUUUUUAAAAAAUUAAUAUUUUUUUAGGUAUUCUCAGAUCAUUUUAAUAUAUUUAUAUUAAAAAUAAUUUUAAAAAAUAAAAAAAAUAUUUAAAUACAUUUCGUAGUGAAAAAUACUUUGAAAAGUAACAAUCAUCGCAAUUCCAAACACCCAAAACUAAAUUUCAUUUUUAAAUUUUAGAUGAUAAUAUUUUUUAUUAACUCGAGUCAACUCGUCAAGCAUGUGACUCAGAUUAUAAACCCGAUUAUAUUUAAUAAUAUUAUUUUUUAAAAAUAAUUUUUUUUUCAUUAUAUGAUAAUUAAAAUAAAUACCAUAAAAAAACAAUUGUAAAAUUUGUUUUAAGAAAAUAAUGAUUGUAUGUAAAACAAAACGCUUAAUAAUGACUCCUAUACUCAUCUUAAAAAAAAAUAAAAAAAAUUAUUGAUAUUUAAUAAAAUAAUAUCUAAAAUCUAUUCUUAUUAAUUUAAUAAACUAAUAUUUUAAAUUAAUUAAAUUUUUUUUAAAAUGAAAUUAAAAAAAAAACAAGAAAAAGUAAAAAAAAGGAAAAGGAGCCGUGCACAAGGUUAGGUUGCCCAGCACACUUAACCCUCUGAAAAGGGCCCAAGCACAUGGCCUUCCUAGCCGAAAAUAAUUUUUAUUUGCACUUAAAGUUUCUAAACUACAAAAAUAUAUUGAAAAAACUUGUAUAUAUAUAUUUUUUAUAAAAAAUAAAAAUAUCUUACCUGCAGCGAAGAAUGGCUCAUAUAACUAGUUACUUAUAGAAGAAAUGAAAAGGGGAAAAAAUGGAAAGGGCAACUACACCCUCCAGUCCCCUUUGGUUGUGUCACUGCUUUUAACAAGGAUAAUGUUCUAUUCUCAUGGACGACGUUUAGCAAGAAGAAGAAGAAGGAAAUAGGGUCUUGAAUUCGGACAACAUAAACAAUAUAGAAGAAAAGCAUCAAUAGAUUCAUUUUUUGACAAAUAAAAAGAAUUAAAAAGUAAAUGUCUCUUUGAACAUUAAGUUAAUUACACCAUUGAGAGAAGUUGUGUUUACCUUAGGAGUUGUGAUAUUAGUUUUUUUCAUGUAAUUUGCUAGUAGCAUUGUCACCUUGUUACACCCAUCUUAAUAACUUCAGUGGCACAUGUUUACUCAUGAAAGAUGUUGGGUUUUGUUGAGAGAAGCAUAUGUAUAUAAUUUCCAUAGGAAUAAUUAUCUCUCCAUUCAAGAUCCUAUCGAAUCGUAAAAACAAUAAUAUUCUACAGCGCUACUUGUGAGUGGAAUCAUGCAUGGUGAAGGAUUUUUUAGUACGUACCGGGUUUGACAUUGACGCACAGAAAGCUCAAACCUUGCUCUGCAAUGGAUCUUCUCUAGAGCUGGGAUAUAUAGAUUAUUUUUAUAACUAUCAACCCUUACCAAAAGUCGACAAAGAAAUUAGAAUGAUAUGUAUUGAUGAGAAAUAGAACUAGUCGCCCUACUAUGCCAAGAGGACGAAGACUUCAUAAGUUGAAGAGUCUUCGUCUUUAAUCUCUGCAUGCUGGGACAGCUAGUUCCAUGGAAGUGUCCACAUCAGUUUUCGGCUGAGAUAUCGAUGUUUUUUUUUUUUUAACUAUCCAUCCACAUCAAAAUUCGACAAAGAAAUUAGAAAUACAUGUAUAUUGUGUGGUACCGCAAGUGAUGGUGGGAUCAUAAUAUUUAAUUGGCAACCACCACAUUUAAUUGGCAAAUGACAGCAGCUUGCCUCUUUAAGAACACAGGUAAUUAGCACUGUAGCAACUGGACAGCUUUAGCAAAAUAGAGAAGAUAAAAAAGGGAAAAAAAGAAGAGGAAAGGUAGCAUAAUAGUCUCUCUUCUAAUAUUUUCAUUAACAGUUGUAUCGGUUUGAGAUUUUAACAGCGGCUUAUAAACAUGUUAAUCUUAAUUCUAGAUGGUUAGAUUGAAUAUUAAUGAUGUAAAAACUGAUUAUUUUAUCAAAAAUCAGGAUUAUUAGUAUUAUUAGUUUUUCUCAAACACUUCUCCCUUUAAUCUUGUUGUAUUCCAAAAAUAAAUUGUUCUUAAUGAUAUAUAUGUUGUAGUCCUUAGUUAAAUUUUAAAAAAAAAAACCACUUGUGAACCUAUUAUUUGUUGAUAGUGAAAGUUUUUAGGUAGACUACAGUCUUAAAAAAAUUAGAAAUACAUGUAUGUUGUGUGGUACCUCAACAUGUGAUGGUGGAAUCACCAUAUUUAAUUGGCAACCACCACAUUUAAUUAGCGAGGGACGGCAACUUGCCUCUUUAAGAACACAAAUAAGUAGCACUGUAGCAACGAGACAGCUUUAGCAAAAUAAAAAAGAUAAAAAAGGGAAAAAGAGAAGAAGAAAGGUAGCAUAACAGUCUUUCUUCUAUUUUCAUUAACAGUUGUAUCGGGUUGAGAUUUUGACAGCGGCUUAUAAACAUGUUAAUCUUCAUUUUAGAUGGUUAGAUUGAAUAUUAAUGAUGUAAAAACUGAUUAUUUUAUCAAAAAUCAGGAUUAUUAGUAUUAUGAGUUUUUCUCAAACACUUCUCCCUUUAAUUUUGUUGUAUUCCAAAAAUAUAUUGUUCUUAAUGAUAUAUAUGUUGUAGCCCUAAGUUAAAUUUUUUUAAAAAAAAACACUUGUGAACUUAUUAUUUGUUGAUAGUUAAAGUUUUUAGGUGGACUACGGUCCUGUAGUUUUUCUCGUAUCAUGUUUUCUAUGUAAAGAUUUUUGUGUUGAUUUGUAUGUUUGAUUGCAUUAAUUAUUGAUGAGGUAAUUCUAAUUUUAAUUGGGAAAAAAAAAGAAUUGGUAUUUAUAAAUUGUGUAUUCUACUAUAUUGGUGUUGUCGAUACUUUUCCAACAAUGUAUUAAUAAGAAGUAGAACUAGUCGCCCUCCCAUGCAAAGACUACGAAGACUACUCAAGUUAAAGAGGUAUAUCACUGUAAGGUGGAAUCCACAAUAAUUUGCCACUGAGAUAUAGAUGCAUUUAUAACUAUCAUGAAUCCUUUCCAAAAUUCAACAAAUAAAUUAGAGUAAUAUGUAUUCAUUAGAAGUAUAAUUAACUAGUCACCCCGCCAUGAAAAUUAAGAGGACGAAGACUUCUUAAGUUGAAGAGUCUUCGUCCUUGAUCUCUGCAUGGCGGGACAAACUGCGUUCUAUGGAGCCGUCGGUAUCCACAUUUUUCAUCUUAAACCAUAUGAUUUCUUGAAUAUGCUUAUUUAUUAUAAUUCUAUUGGGAAAUUGAAGAAAAAAACUCAUAGAAAUCCUAUCAAUUCCUCUUUUUUUCUCUACAAACUUAGAAAAAUAUGUUUAUUAAUUGAAAAAAAAAGAAUUGAAAUGACUUUUAUGGGUUUUCUUCUUUAAUUUCUCAAUAUAUAGAACCCUAAUACAGAGCCAUAUUAAAAAAAAAUCAUGAUGAUUAAGAUAAAGAAUCAUAAAUAUAUCAUAUAAAUCACCGUUGAAGAUACGGUGUGUCUAUGAAAGCACAUGACCACACAGUCCCAGAAAACUUUCUUCCAAAGGGCAUAUGUACUUAUGUAGUGGUAUACAAUAUACUUAUAUACAAUCACUUUACAUGGUUAAUUACUAUAAAUGUAUUUCUUUUCCACUCCCCUAAAAGAGAGAGCAUCAACAUGUUGAAUGGAUCUAUGAUUUAAAAAUACAAAUGGACCCUCACUUGCCACUCCCAUUUUAUUUAUUACUCUCUACACUUGGAUGUCAGAUAUAUUUUAUUAGAUUUUUAUGUUAAAAAAUUCUAGGUUAUCUAUGUUUGUUAAAUUUUUGGAUUAUUUUUAACAUUCAGUGCCUUUAAGGGUAAGAAAAUUCACGAUCCUGCAGAGAUUUGAAUGGUGAGAUUUCCUUACAGGUGACGGUUGAAGCAAAAUGUUGAAGCCAAACAUUUGGUAAAUAAAAAAUCAGCAAUUAUUAUUCAUGGAUCCUAUUAUUUACUGCAUUGCAAACACAGGGUUGCAAACACAGGGUUAGAAGAAGCAAUUCACAAUCCUACUUGUUUCAGUAAAUAAGUGAGCUCUCAUUCUUUACGAGCUCUGCCCAUCAUAAUAAAUUAAUUUAUACCCAGAUAAAGUAAUUUGUUAUGCUCUACUAUCAUAGAGAUUCUUUUCUCUAUAUACCAAUUCCAAGACAUCACUAACUUUCUUCUUAUAAAUGAUGACUAUGGCCAUGUUUGGAUUAUGGUUAAAUAUUAUCGUUAUUUUGUUAUUUUUUUAAAUAAAAAUUAAAUUAAAUUUUUAUAUAUUAAUGUCAAAAAUAAAAUUUAUAAAAUAAAAAAAUAUUAUUUUAAUAUAUUUUAAAACAUAACUACCAACUUAUCUAACCAGUAAAAUAAAAUAAAAAAUUUAAUUUUUAAUUGUGUUUUAUUUAAAAAAUUAGUGUUCAACAUUAUUCAAUAACACUAUUGAUAAAUUAGAUGGAGAUCACAAUCCCAAUUUUAUUCAUGAUGAUAUUUUACCUGAUGUUGUUGUACUCUUAAAAAAUUAAGGAAACUGUAGUCCUUGUCGGAUGUGUUUCAUACGUGAUGGAACUGUAGAUAGUUUAAUAGAACAAUAAAAAAUAUUUUAUAUAAAAUAUUAUUUAUUUCAUGAUGUAAUAGCAGUAGUUAAAUCUACAAUAUUUAAAUUAAAACCCAUCAAUAUUAAUAUAUAUUUUUUGAAAUUAUUUUACAACCUCAAUUUAAAAGGCAUUCUUAACCAAAUAUAUUAAACUAUUUUUUUAAUAUCAAUUUCAAUCACAGUUUUAACAAAUAUAUAUAAAUACCAAACCAACCUCAACCAAAAAUCUUUUAUAAAAUAAUUUUUUUAAAUCAAUCACAAAAACUACCAUAAUACAAACCACAAAAGCUAUAGUAUGUGGCAUUUCGAUGUCAAAUGGUUUGAUAAACUAUAGGCUGUGACCUAUAAUUAUAACCAACCAGUACUCAUCAGCUGAAGAUGUGGCUUGAUUUGGAUCCGUCUUUCACAAGAAAGAGCAUGCACUGAAGAAAGCAACACGAUCUGGCCAUGUCCUCUCUUUCUUCUUUGGACAUUGAGGCCAUCCGGCAAUGCUCAUCUCAACUGAAGUUCGGAUUUGGGCUGUUGUAUACGUUGUUUUCUGGUGGCUUCUUAAUUAUGGAGUCCCUUAUUUGUUUCUACCUCUUGGAAAAUACAACUGUAGUUAUGUGAUGACCGUGCUCCGGUCAAGUCUAAAAUAUAUCAUUUGGUGAAAAUGCUUUCGAUAUAUAUAAUGCAGUUCAUAUCUACAGAAGUUCUUCCUUUUUCUUUGCUUAAUUGGACUGGCGAUGCAAAUUUUAGACAAGAUUAAGGAUGAGAACUAAGAUCCUUACUACUCUAGCUAGAGAUCCUAUAACUUACAAGAAACUAAUAAAACCCUAAACCCUAAACAUAAAUUAUUUUGUAAUUAAACAGUUUUUUCCCAGCAAAUGAGAAAGAAAAAACAUAAAUUAUACCGAUACCUUAUGCUCUUUUAUAUUUCCACGAAUUGUCUUCUCGCUUUCUCGCCUGAGCUUGAAGAGUUCGAACAUGAUAGGUUUCCAACAAAUACCAUCUUAGUUCGAAAUAUGCAUACCUGUAAUAUCAGCCCCUGACAUUACAGCAGUCAAUCAUCGUAAUAAACAAUGUAAAUGAAAUAGUAGUUGCUACUUGCCGGCAUUGCAGCUUGGUUUGUGGAUCAUAAUUAUUAAUUAUCGACCUAGUCUAGCGAAUUCACCAUGUCAAGUUUUACUUCAGAUUGUUUUGAACAUAGAUCAGGUCAAAUUCGAUCAAUUUGUUGUGCUGACUUGCAAUCUAGUUGAUCAUAAAUUUGAGUGAGAUUUUGAUUAGGUCAAUUUAAGAUUUUUUUUAAAAAAAACACAAACAAUAUUGUUUUAGAAGAAAAAAAAAUUAUUGACCCAGGUUGACUCGAUGAUCUAUGAAUUGACCUGACAACUCAAUGAUUAAGAUCUAAAAUCAAGUUAAAUUCUAAGUUGAGUGUUAAAAAAAAAGCUAAAACAUGAUGGAAAUAUACUGUAAAUAUACUUUGAAGUACAAUGGAUUCUAAUAGUGAAUUGACUAUUUUACCCUUAAAAAAUCACAAUCGUUUAAGAGGUAAAAUGAUCUUCUCACUUAGUUCAUCUGUUAUUCUAAAAUUAUUUAGGAGAAUCUCUGUAUUUUCAUGAUUUUUGUACAGUAACUCACUUUAUUGCCCUUAAAAAAAACAUUCAACUAUUGUUUAAGGGGCUUUUUUUUAUAUUUCAUGUUUUUUUACUACAGUGUAAUGAUUCUAUUAUUUUGAAUUAAAUUUUCAAAAGCUUGCCUACCUAGGGCUUAUCUUUCAUUUUAUAUUGUUUUUUUUAUAAUGAUUUUUUAUUUUUGAUCCUAGGGGUAAUGUAGUAUUUUCAUAAGCAAAAAAAAAAAAAUUGUGUGUGCUUUGCAAGCGCCGGUCACUCUGCUAUCUUUGAGCAACGUGUGCAACUGAUUUCGAUGGUGAAAAUCAUUCUCAUGUCGUGUCAUUCGAUUCAUCUCAGCCUUCUCUUUCUUCUCACAUAACGUGUAUGGUGAACAGACCUCCAAUAAAACACUGUCUACCUUUUGUUUUUUCCAUUUUUUUCUCUUUUCUCCUAGCAUUGGUGCAUCCAACGGUUCUGCUUUUUCCUGUGCAUUUGGUGCUUUUAGAAUGCUCAGUAUGAGAGCAAGGCUCUAGCAUUUUUGAAGCAUUAUCCUUUUUAACAGUCCCAGCAUUUCUAGUUGAAGCAGUUCCAUUCCUUGCUAUUGACUUCGGAAUCACAUCCUUACCUUCAAAAACUUCUUUAUGACAAGCAGCAUUUGGUGAUAAUCCCUUGGACAUUAGACCAACAGAAAAAUUAACAUUAAAAAGGAUGCCUAUUUUAAAAAAAGAAAAAAUCCAAAUUGCAGCAAAAGAGCACUGGGCACAAAUGCUACCUUUCAAGUCGCGACCACACUUCUAUGAGGAAUAAUAAAAAGGUUAUCUCAUCUGUCUCUAAAUAGCAUAUGCAACAGUCAUGAGUUUAUUUUCCUCUUUAUUUUAUUUUAUUCAUUUUGCAUGAAAAGUCUAUCAGUCAUAGAUUGAUAACUGAAAUGUCACUAGUAGGGCUAAACAUCUCAUGUGGUCCCUCUACUUCUCAAAUUUGAUCAAAUCAACCAUGUCCCUUAAAUUGGACCAAAUCAACUCCACUUCCAGUUACGGAUUUGAGAUCCUCCACUUGAUUACAUCAUAACAAGUGGCAUUUAAAUAGUAAUGGAAUUAGAGGAAGGGACUGGCAUCACCUUUACUUAGAGAAAAAGGGUUGAUUUGAUCUAUUUUGAAGUAAAAGGUUUGAUUUAACCAAAUUAAGAAAGUAGGAGGCUGCGUGUGAUUUGUAGCAAAUCACAAGCAGUAUAAGACAGUAAACGGGUUUUGGAUUCUACAAAGCAGAUAAAAGGGAAACCAAAACUUAUUCUUGAAAAUGAAGUCAGAAAUUAUAUUUAGCAAAAGAAGAGAACUCUGGAUCAGUUUUCCAUCUUAGGUAACAGUUUUACAAUUGCAAGACAAGAUCACAAAAAACUCCACUCAAAUCUCAUGCAGUUAUAGACAGGGAUAAGAAACAUACCAAAGGUUCCCCAGAAUGAUUGAAUAUGGUCUCAUUGAAUUAUUGAAUUAUUAUCAGGGAAAAUCUUCUUGCUCCUUUUAAUUCCUAUAACCAUCUUCAUUAUCUCUAUUUUUUCUUGAAUUACUCUAGUAUAAUAGAGGAGGAAAAAAAAUUCACCUUUGGACAUACCUGUUAGAGCCUUAUAUGAUGGAAACAGAGCAAGUGGCAGAGGACGAUUGCCAUGUCAGUAAUGGUGCAAGAAAGAUUCUCUUGGGAAAGUACGAGAUGGGGAGGUUGUUAGGACAAGGAACGUUUGCUAAGGUCUACAGAGGGAAGAAUCUUGUGACAAAAGAAAAUGUUGCAAUCAAAGUGUUGCACAAGGAUCAGGUCAAGAGGACAGGAUUAAUGGAGCAAAUCAAGAGAGAAAUCUCAAUUAUGAAUCUUGUGAAGCAUCCAAAUAUAGUGGAGUUGAAAGAAGUGAUGGCUACCAAAUCAAAGGUUUUCUUUGUAAUGGAGUUUGUGAAAGGUGGUGAGUUAUUUGCCAAAAUCAAGAAGGGAGGGCUGGAGGAAGAUCUUGCAAGAAAAUAUUUCCAGCAGUUGAUUUGUGCAGUUGAUUAUUGUCAUAGUCGUGGCGUUUCUCAUCGUGAUUUAAAGCCCGAAAACUUGCUUUUGGAUGACAAAGAAGACUUGAAAGUGUCCGAUUUCGGGUUUUCUGCUUUGCCUGAGCAGAAAUGGAACGAUGGUUUGCUGCACACACGGUGUGGCACCCCUGCAUAUGUGGCUCCAGAGGUUCUAAGAAAGAAGGGUUAUGAUGGUGCUAAAGCUGAUACCUGGUCUUGUGGCGUUAUUCUAUUCGUUCUGCUUUCAGGGCACUUGCCCUUUCGCAAUGAGAACGCCAUGAAGAUGUAUGUGAAGAUUUUAAAGGCUGAAUAUGAGUUCCCACCGUGGAUUUCCAGGGAUGCCAAGAGGUUGAUUUCC
rnacentral:lncRNA from 1 species